rnacentral:rRNA from 1 species
AUUGAACGCUGGCGGCAGGCCUAACACAUGCAAGUCGAGCGGAGCGGCGGACGGGUGAGUAAUGCCUAGGAAUCUGCCUGGUAGUGGGGGAUAACGUCCGGAAACGGGCGCUAAUACCGCAUACUAUCAGAUGAGCCUAGGUCGGAUUAGCUAGUUGGUGGGGUAAAGGCCUACCAAGGCGACGAUCAGUAGCGGGUCUGAGAGGACGAUCCGCCACACUGGGACUGAGACACGGCCCAGACUCCUACGGGAGGCAGCAGUGGGGAAUUUUGGACAAUGGGGGCAACCCUGAUCCAGCCAUGCCGCGUGUAUGAAGAAGGCCUUCGGGUUGUAAAGUACUUUUGUUAGGGAAGCGGUACCUAAAGAAUAAGCACCGGCUAACUACGUGCCAGCAGCCGCGGUAAUAC